CAGUAGCCGCGGGAAUACGAAGGGGGCUAGCGUUGUUCGGAAUUACUGGGCGUAAAGGGCGCGUAGGCGGCCAUUCAAGUUAGAUGUGAAAGCCCUGGGCUCAACCUAGGAAUUGCAUUUGAUACUGUUUGGCUUGAGUUCGGGAGAGGUGAGUGGAAUUCCCAGUGUAGAGGUGAAAUUCGUAGAUAUUGGGAAGAACACCAGUGGCGAAGGCGGCUCACUGGACGCGUAUUGACGCUGAGGUGCGAAAGCGUGGGGAGCAAACAGGAUUAGAGACCCCCGUAGUCCCUGUCUCUUAUAA
rnacentral:rRNA from 1 species